rnacentral:rRNA from 1 species
UGUUGUCGCGCCAGCGGCAUGGCAGGGUAGCUAUGUUCGGAAUGGAUAACCGCUGAAAGCAUCUAAGCGGGAAGCCAACUCCAAGAUAAGUUUUCCCUAAGCUUCGGCUUCUAAAGAUUCCUCGGAGACUACGAGGUUGAUAGGCGGAAGGUGUAAGCACAGUAAUGUGUUUAGCUGAUCCGUACUAAUAAUCGUGAGGCUUUAUUAU